GACGAAUUUGUUUGAAUUUCGGUGAAGCAGGAUCGAAUUUUCAGUGGUGGAGGUUCGCCAUGUUAAUCUCGUUGUCCCGUUCGCUGUCCGGAAGAAGAAUCAGAGGCGAAUCCAGGAUUCGGGUGCAUCAUUGUCUUUACAUAAGCCAUGAGAAUCUUCCAAUGACGAAUGAGGGAUAUUGUUGUAUCAAACUUACUCCUACAUCUUUUCGGGAUCAAGUCCCAAAAAAUCCUCAAAGGGACUAAUCCAUGAAGAAAUUGGGCUGGUAUAAAGCUGUAUACAUAUUGAGCAGUAUACAUAGGAUAUACAGUCAAAAACGGGAGGUCAAGUUGGCGUGCAGGUGGAAGAACAAAAUAUAUGCAUAUGGGGCUGGUAUACAAUCUGAUAUACAUCAGAUCAAAAACGCCGGGGGAAAAUAGCCACAGUAUACAGAUGAUAUACACUGAGAUUACUCUUCCUUUAUUUCCUAUUCUUAUUUAUUUGUAUUUACUUGAACAUCCUAACUAAUUAAUCUAGAUAAAUCUCCUAAGACGUUAGCAUUUUAUUUUAUCACAGCUUCUAGUCAA